rnacentral:rRNA from 1 species
UACAGAGGCCCCAAGCGUUACUGAGAAUCACUGGGUUUAAAGGGUGCGUAGGUGGCGCGUUAAGUCCGUUGUGAAAUCCCUGGGCUCAACCCAGGAAAUGCUUCGGAUACUGGCGUGCUUGAGGCUAGUAGGGGUCACUGGAACUGACGGUGGAGCGGUGAAAUGCGUAGAGAUCGGAAAGAACACCAACGGCGAAAGCACUCUGCUGGGCCGACACUGACACUGAGAGACGAAAGCUAGGGGAGCGAAUGGG